rnacentral:lncRNA from 10 species
CAGCAACAGAAACAGAGAUUAGGGGGAUGCAGCUGGAAGCCCAGGGAUGACGAGGAUUGCCAGCAACCCACAGAGGCGAGGAUGAGGCAAGGAAGAAUUUGCCCUACAGGUUUCAGAGGGGACAGGCCCUAUUCACACCUUGAUCUUGAACUUCUGGCCUCCAGAACUGUGAGACAGAGGCACCUUGAGAAGCUCCAUGCUGUUGUCCAUGCAGCUGUUCCUGCUCAAGCCGCAGCUGGGACUUUUAUAAGAAACUGCCUUCUAGAGCCAGGUGACAGCCUGCAUGAAGAAACCAGGCCCGGUGCAGUGGCUCAUGCCUGUAAUCCCAGCACUUUGGGAGGCCAAGGUGGGAGGAUCACUUGAAUCUAGGAGUUUGAGACCAGCCUGGGCAGCAUAGCGAGACCUCGUCUCCACAAAAAAUAAAUAAUAAAAAAAUUAGCUGGGCAUGGUGGCAUAUGCCUGUAGUCCCAGUUACUUGGGAAACUGAGGUGGGAGGAUGGCUUGACCCUGGGAGGUAGAGGCUGCAGUGAGCCGUGAUCAUGCCACUGCACUCCAGCCUGGGUGACGGAUAGAGACCACCAUCU